rnacentral:rRNA from 1 species
UACGAAGGGGGCGAGCGUUGUUCGGAUUUACUGGGCGUAAAGGGCUCGUAGGCGGCCAACUAAGUCAGACGUGAAAUCCCUCAGCUUAACUGGGGAACUGCGUCUGAUACUGGAUGGCUUGGAUUCGGGAGAGGAAUGCGGAAUUCCAGGUGUAGCGGUGAAAUGCGUAGAUAUCUGGAGGAACACCGGUGGCGAAGGCGGCAUUCUGGACCGACAUUGACGCUGAGGAGCGAAAGCCAGGGGAGCAAACGGG